GAUCCUGGCUCAGGAUGAACGCUAGCGACAGGCUUAACACAUGCAAGUCGAGGGGCAGCACGGUGUAGCGAUACACUGGUGGCGACCGGCGCACGGGUGAGUAACACGUGUGCAACCAACCCCGUACCGGGAGAUAACCCGCGGAAACGUGGACUAACAUCCCAUGACACUCUAGAGCCGCAUGGCUCUAGAUUUAAAAUUCCGGUGGUACGGGACGGGCACGCGCUACAUUAGGUAGUUGGCGGGGUAAGGG
rnacentral:rRNA from 1 species